AUGAUCGGCUAUGGCGGCGGUGGAAGAGUGUACAGGGGCAGGCUUCAUGAUGGUCGAGAGGUGGCCGUCGAGCGCGUGAGUAGCCUACAAUCAGACAACAUACAGCCGGAGCUCGAAAUCCUGUCACGGCUCCGACACAAACACAUCGCCCACCUCCUUGGAUCGUGUGUGACUGCGGCCACAGACAAGAGACAAAAGCGCCUGCUGACCACCAAGCGAAGAAAGGAACCCGAAGAGGAGCCAGAAGGGUUCAUCGUCUACGAGUACAUGGAGAACGGCACGCUCUACGACCACCUGCACCGUAACCAGGGCUCCUCCGCACCAGCACCGGCGAGGGUGUGCUGGAAGACGCGCAUAGAGGUGCUCCUCUGUGUGUCGCGCGCCAUCAGGCACCUGCACUGUCCUGCCGAAGAACCGAUCAUCCACCGUGACAUCAAGUCAAGUAACAUCCUUUUCGACAACGGUUGGGUGCCACAUGUGUCGGACUUUGGCUCGUCACUCACCUGGCACGUGGCGAGCGUGAAGGACUCGGGGUUGGGGUGCCCUGUUAUGGGCACAUUUGGGUACGUGAAGCCGGCGAGCAACGUGUACAGCCUGGGCGUGCUGAUGCUCGAGGUGUUGACAGGGAAACGGGCAUUUCUCCAAGGGGGAUUAAAGAUAAAGGAAGAUCUAGCAUGUUUUGCAUCUCCCAUCAUCGAGGCUGGUGAUAUUAUGGAGUUGCUGGACAAGCGAGGAGCCAACACCAUUGCAGUUGCAGGCGCUGAAGCGUGUAGCGCAAAUUCUUUACUCUUUUGCAUUCGAUUCUAG
rnacentral:rRNA from 1 species